rnacentral:rRNA from 1 species
GUGAGGAAUAUUGGUCAAUGGGCGAGAGCCUGAACCAGCCAAGUCGCGUGAAGGAAGAAGGAUCUAUGGUUCGUAAACUUCUUUUGCAGGGGAAUAAAGUGCGGGACGUGUCCUGUUUUGUAUGUACCCUGAGAAUAAGGAUCGGCUAACUCCGUGCCAGCAGCCGCGGUAAUACGGAGGAUCCGAGCGUUAUCCGGAUUUAUUGGGUUUCAAGGGUGCGUAGGUGGUUUGAUAAGUCAGCGGUGAAAGUUUGCAGCUUAACUGUAAAAAUGCCGUUGAAACUGUCGGACUUGAGUGUAAAUGAGGUAGGCGGAAUGCGUGGUGUAGCGGUGAAAUGCAUAGAUAUCACGCAGAACUCCGAUUGCGAAGGCAGCUUACUAAGCUACAACUGACACUGAAGCACGAAAGCGUGGGGAUCAAACAGGAUUAGAAACCCGGGUAGUCC